rnacentral:tRNA from 1 species
GAACCCUUGGCGCAGCGGUAGCGCGUGUGAUUCCAGAGGCUUCGUCAGCGGACUCGGAUCCACAAGGUCGUCCGUUCAAUCCGGGCAGGGUUCA